rnacentral:rRNA from 1 species
ACUCCUACGGGAGGCAGCAGUGGGGAAUAUUGCACAAUGGGCGCAAGCCUGAUGCAGCGACGCCGCGUGGGGGAUGACGGCCUUCGGGUUGUAUACCUCUUUCAGUGGGGACGAAGCGCAAGUGACGGUACCUACAGAAGAAGCACCGGCCAACUACGUGCCAGCAGCCGCGGUAAU